UGAGCCUGCUGCUGACCUCCUCUAUUUGGGUUGCUGACAUCUUCAGGCCCUUCACUCCUCUGCACCACAUGAAGAGAAGCCUCUUCAUGACACCCAAGCAUGCCUGGUGCAUGUAAUCGAUGGGAAAUGCACUGAUCAUGUUUAUGGGUAAAUCCAAAAGCGGGGUGCUGCCAUGAUGAUGCUCGCCCUGUGUCUGUUGGCGGAAGGAGUCGUCACUACGAGCCACCACCUCUGUGUCUUGGCCACUGGACAGGAGGUUGUUGACAUCCAUCACCAUGUCUUCCAGGAAUUCCAGAUUCUGUGGUUUCGAACCUCCACAAGUAAGGGUGAUAGGGAAGACUGACACUGGUUUUAAAUGGACAGCACAAAGGAUGGGCCACAUUGUUCUUCCUGAGCUCUUAAACAGAGGAAAAUGGACAUACUCCAUACACCAGACUUUGAUGUGAUCCUGACCUCCCUUGGUGUCUUCAGGAGUGUCCUGGUGGUGGAAGGCAGGGACCGAACUGAAGACGCUGGGAUCCACCAUUUAAGAGACAUCCGGAAUCAACAGGACAUCUUCACAACCCUGACUCGGCAGCGACAGUUGAGCCAGCCUCUCUGCAGCUUAAGGACAACUUCAGCUUGAUCGAAAACUGGGGUGCAAUUCGUAUAAUAAUAGGAUAAAAACACCAGAUUUGGUGUUUUAAGGUUUAUUAGUCUGAGGUUUAAUUAAUGUAUCAAAGCAACACAGCACUCGUGAUCGUGGGGUGGCUAUCUGGGCCACUCGACAUCAGAACCUUGAGUUUGCAGCCUCAACAAAACACCCGUGAUUAUAUCAUUGCCCAACCCCACUCUCACUCGCACAAUUUCAAAUUGCAUUGAUGACCUUAUUUCAGCCUUGGUUACCGAAUACUAAGAUUAAACUCAGGUUGAUUGUCAGUUCAGUCUUAUCCUGUGGGUCAGGCACUGCUGUUAUUUUCUUGUAACUUAAAAUUGCACUAGACAGCAUUAAUAUUAGUUUGGAUUGGAUUCUGAUUAGCAGUCACUGCUUUAGCUAUACUCUCCACCUCAGCCUCUCCACGGCCUUUAUGCUCAGUCCUGGUUGACCAAUGUAAACCUUCAAUGUGGUUUGUUCACUUGAAUCCGUGAAACGCAUGAAUUGUACUUCAAAUGUUUUGUUAAUAGAAAGAAUUGUCGUGAUUUGGUCCCUGUAUAUGCAUUUGAAAUAAAUGAUUCAUCAAUUCAGUAUCUGAAUAUAUUUCAUUUCUAUUUUUCAACAGGGUCAGAGUUUGUGGAAAUGAGAAUUGUUAUGUAGUUCUGGAUGGUCAACAUAGUUGAGCACAAAUAUUUGUUGUGGGAAUUGAGUCAUCACUAAGUAGUAAAUAGACAAUAAAAGUGGUGACAUUUUCUGAUUUAACCUAAUAUUUGUGUUGGACACAAACAGCCAGUGUAAUUCUGAAGUUUGAUAUCACGGUAAGUAAAUGACCACACCACUACGUAGCCGUGACAUUACUUGCAUUACCAAGUGGCAACGUUAGCAAAUGACCACACCACUACGUCACGGCAACGUUAUUAACAGUACCAAGCGGCAACGUUAACAAAUGACCACACCACUAUGUUGUGGCAACGUCACUCACGCUACAAAUGGGCAACGUUAGCAAAUGACCACACCACUACGUCGCGGCAACGUCACUCACGCUACCAAGUGGCAACGUUAGCAAAUGACCACACCACUACGUCGCGGCAACGUUAUUAACAGUACCAAGUGGCAACGUUAGCAAAUGACCACACCACUACGUUGUGGCAACGUCACUCACGCUACCAAGUGGCAACGUUAGCAAAAUUACCAAGCCACUACGUCGCGGCAAUGUUAUUUGUUUACUUUAUGGCAACUUCCUGUAGGCAACGUCAUGGCGAUGUUGCCACAACGUUGCCAGGAGGUAAUGUUGCCAUGACCAAAUGGCAACGUAUAGGCAACGUUGCCGUAUGGUCGUGUGUUA